rnacentral:rRNA from 1 species
UGGGGAAUAUUGGACAAUGGGCGAAAGCCUGAUCCAGCCAUGCCGCGUGUGUGAAGAAGGUCUUCGGAUUUUAAAGCACUUUAAGUUGGGAGGAAGGGCAGUAAGCGAAUACCUUGCUGUUUUGACGUUACCGACAGAAUAAGCACCGGCUAACUCUGUGCCAGCAGCCGCGGUAAUACAGAGGGUGCAAGCGUUAAUCGGAAUUACUGGGCGUAAAGCGCGCGUAGGUGGUUCGUUAAGUUGAAUGUGAAAGCCCCGGGCUCAACCUGGGAACUGAAUGAAAAACUGGCGAGCUAGAGUAGGGCAGAGGGUGGUGGAAUUUCCUGUGUAGCGGUGAAAUGCGUAGAUAUAGGAAGGAACACCAGUGGCGAAGGCGACCACCUGGGCUCAUACUGACACUGAGGUGCGAAAGCGUGGGGAGCAAACAGG